rnacentral:rRNA from 1 species
AACGAACGCUGGCGGCAGGCUUAACACAUGCAAGUCGAACGGGUGUAGCAAUACAUCAGUGGCAGACGGGUGAGUAACACGUGGGAACCUUCCUAGGGGUACGGAACAACUCAGGGAAACUUGAGCUAAUACCGUAUACGUCCGUGAGGAGAAAGAUUUAUCGCCCUUAGACGGGCCCGCGUCGGAUUAGCUAGUUGGCGGGGUAACGGCCUACCAAGGCGACGAUCCGUAGCUGAUCUUAGAGGAUGAUCAGCCACACUGGGACUGAGACACGGCCCAGACUCCUACGGGAGGCAGCAGUGGGGAAUCUUGGACAAGGGGCGCAAGCCUGAUCCAGCCAUGCCGCGUGAGUGAAGAAGGUCUUCGGAUUGUAAAGCUCUUUUGCCAGGGACGAUAAUGACGGUACCUGGAGAAUAAGCCCCGGCAAACUUCGUGCCAGCAGCCGCCGUAAGAC